GACGAACGCUGGCGGCGUGCCUAAUACAUGCAAGUCGAACGCAGUGGGGACGGGUGCGUAACACGUGGGUAACCUCCCAUCAGAGGGGAUAACACUUGGAAACAGGUGCUAAACCGAUACUGAUGGAUGGACCCGCGGUGCAUUAGCUAGUUGGUGAGGUAACGGCUCACCAAGGCCACGAUGCAUAGCCGACCGGCGAGGGUGAUCGGCCAAAAUGGGACGGAGACAAGGCCCAGACUCCUACGGGAGGCAGCAGUAGGGAAUCUUAGGCAAUGGACGAAAGUCUGAACGAGCAACGCCGGGUGAGUGAAGAAGGUUUUCGGAUCGUAAAACUCUGUUGUUAGAGAAGCGGUAUCUAACCAGAAAGCCACGGCUAACUACGUGCCAGCCGCCGCGGUAAUUC
rnacentral:rRNA from 1 species